GAAUACACCGGAAACUGUCAGGUGGAUGAAUUGGUUCUGAUCCCCGACGAAGGGAGUGACAAGCUACUGUAUGCUCCGGCGAGGUGCAUGUAACCUUUGAACCGGAGAUGCCCUAAUGUGACUUCAUCUUAGAUGCGCGUCAGCGUAGGGGAACGCGGUGAAUUGAAGCGUCUUAGUAACCGCAGGAAAAGAAACUAAUAAGGAUACCGUGAUUAAGGGCGACCGAAAGCGGCAUAAGGCAAACUGAAUCCGCAGCAGUAAUGUUGUGGAGAUGUGGUGUUUUAGACUAUCUUUUAGUCCUAAUCUUCUGAUUUGAAAUCUUCUGGAAAGGAGUGCCGUAGAGGGUGAUAGCCCCGUAAGAGAAGGAAGAUGGAUGUGAUAGUAUCUCGAGUACCGUCUAUUGGAUAUUAGGCGGGAAGAAAUAGGAGGGACUAACUUCUAACCUUAAAUAGGCUCAGAGACCGAUAGAGCAAGAGUACCGUGAGGGAAAUUUGAAAAGGACCCCCACAAAGGGAGUCAAAAGAUCCUGAAACCUGACAGUGAUAGGGUGAUACGGCCUUUAGGGGUUGUAUCGUGCGUUUUGAAUAACGUGCCAGGGACUGUAUGUUAGUGGCGAGGAUAACUGAUGUGAUCGUCAGGAAUCCGUAGGGAAACCGAAAGCUCGCAGCUUGCGAGGAGCGUGGUAUGAAAGUGCCAUCAAGUCACUAGUGUGCGACCCGAAGCCGCUCGAACUAAGCGUGAGUAAGGUGAAGCUGAGGUAAAACUUAGUGGAGGCCUGAAGGGGUGCUACGUGCAAGUGUUCCUCUAACUUGCGUUUAGGGGUGAUAAGCCAAUCGAGAGCGGUGAUAGCUGGUUCCCACCGAAGUUGGCCGCAGUCAAGCUUUGACGGAGAUGGUCUGGGAGGUAGAGAUACGGAUUUGGGUGUUAGGGUGGGAAACUGCUCGCAUCUUUGUCCAACUCCGAAUGCUCAGACAUCGUAGAAGUCAAAAGACGGGGUCACGGCGUAAAGUUGUGAUCCGAGAGGGGAAAAACCCAGACUACAGUUAAGGUCCCAAAAUACUAGUUAAGUGUAAACUCAAAAGGUGUCUACAGCCGAAGACAGAGAGGAGGUUGGCUUAGAAGCAGCCACCCUUUAAAAAGUGCGUAACAGCUUACUUUUCGAGGUUGUAGGCCCUGAAAAUGGACGGGGCUAAACUAGUUACCGAUACUGUGGACAUGCGAAAGCAUUGUGGUAGGUGGGCGUUCUGCAAGGGCAGAAGCAUUUUCGAAAGAGGAUGUGGACCAUGUGGAAAUGCAAAUCCUGGCGGUAGUAGGAUCUAAGUGAUGUGAGAAUCAUCAUCACCGAAAGGGCAAGGGUUCCUUGGCAAUGCAAAUCAGCCAAGGGUUAGUUGAUCCUAACUGGACUCGUAACUCGAGUAUCCGGGAAAGGGCAAAAGGUUAAUAUUCCUUUACUAAUAAAGUAUGUGUGGCAACACAAGGUUUGUUUCUGACUCUUUCGGCUAGACUGACACAGGUUGUCUACUGUGUUAAAUGGGAUAUAUCUAUGGAGUGUCGUAAUGUCGAGAAGUAGUUUAAACCCAUGAAUAGUACCUCUUAUGAGGUAUUCAGUUGAUGCCAAGAGACCAUGAAAAAGGAACAAGCAAAGAUCUUUAUUAAUCAUACCCAGAACCAGCACAGGUGCCCCUAGGUGAGAAACCUAAGGUGUCCGGGUGUAAUCUGAUUGAGGGAAUUCGGCAAAUUAGCCCCGAAGCUUCGGUAGAAGGGGUCCCUAUAUUUGUAGGCUUAUGUUUGCAAAUACAGGGCGCAGUGACUAGGACGGUCCGACUGUUUAACAAAAACGUAGCUUUCUGCUAACCUGCAAAGGCUUGUACAGAAGGCGACGUCUGCCCAGUGCCCAUAUCUAAAACUUCGGUUCAACGGAGCUAAGGAUGGGUAAACGGCGGGGGUAACUAUAACUCUCUUAAGGUAGCAAAAUGCCUUGCCGUUUGAAUGACGGCCUGCAUGAAUGGCGUAACGAGAUCGUCACUGUCCCCAGUCAGAAGCCCCUGAACACACUUGUCCGGUGCACAAGCCGGAGAAUUCCAGUGGGAAGUGAAGACCCCGUGAAACUUUACUGUAACCUGUCGUUGUGACACGACUUUAGAUGCGUAGUGUAGAUGGAAGCUGUUACGUUUGUAUUUUCGGAUACAGAAUAGGCGUCAAUGAAACACCAUCCUUUUGAAAUUGUGUUACUAACCGCUGAAAAGCGGAACAUCGAUAGGCGGACAGUUUAGCUGGGGUGGCAUGCCGCUGAAAACAUAUCAGUGGCGCCCAAAGGUAAGCUCAGACGGGUUGGAAAUCCGUCGUGGAGUGUAAGAGCAAAAGCUUGCCUGAUUGGAUUUGUAGCUUAAUCAAAUCCAAAGACGAAAGUCUGGUCUAGCGAACCUCCAUGUCCGCAUUAGUGGCGGCUGGAGAUGGCCGAAAAGUUACUCCGGGGAUAACAGAGUUGUCCCGCCCGAGAGCUCAUAUAAGUUCUGCUAAAGCAGAACUUGGAGCAGAUCGACGGCGGGGCUUGCUACAUCGCUGUCGGCUCUGCCUAUCCUGGCUGUGCAGAAGCAGCCAAGGGUGGGGGUGUUCACCCAUUAAAAGGGAUCGUUAGCUGGGUUCACAACGCUGCGAGGCAGUUGGUUUAAUAUCUGCUGGAAUUGUUUGGUAUCUGAAUGGAAGGACUUUCUAGUACGAGAGGAACGGAAGUUCGGCGCCUCUGGUUCACCAGUUGUCCGACAGGGCACGCUGGGCAGCUACGCGUCAAGGGAUAAGAGCUGAAAGCAUCUAAGCUCGAAGCCCGCCGUGAAAAGAGAUACCAUAGAACUCCUGUAAAAGACAGGGUUGAUAGAGUCGGGGUGUAAGUGCUAAGGCAACGAGGCAUUCAGCCUGCGGCUACUAAUUGUUCGUUCGUGUAUUCU
rnacentral:rRNA from 1 species